GUUGUGAAUGUGGUUAAGUCCCGCAACGAGCACAACCCUUAUCCUUGUGCCAGCGGUCCGGCCGGGAACUCAAAGGAGACUGCCAGUGAUAAACUGGAGGAAGGUGGGGAUGACGUCAAGUCAUCAUGGCCCUUACGACCAGGGCUACACACGUGCUACAAUGGCGCAUACAAAGAGAAGCGACCUCGCGAGAGCAAGCGGACCUCAUAAAGUGCGUCGUAGUCCGGAUUGGAGUCUGCAACUCGACUCCAUGAAGUCGGAAUCGCUAGUAAUCGUGGAUCAGAAUGCCACGGUGAAUACGUUCCCGGGCCUU
rnacentral:rRNA from 1 species